CACAGGGAGGAGGCUGGCUCCUUUUUCUCCCUUCACCAGGUGUUUGUGAUGGUGCUGGAGGGUUGUGGUGCCCACUGCCUUGGUGGGGCUGGAGGGUUGUGGUGCCCACUGCCUUGGUGGGGCUGGUAAAGCCUUGGGGGACAGUGGUGGUACAAGCAGAGGGUUCCCAGGCUGGAGGAGCUCCUGCAGGGUGGUGCUCCCACAUGGGCACUGUGAGAGGGAAGGAGGUCUGGGUGCUGCACAGACCAAGUCUUGUCGCAGCCCCUAUCAGGGAGUUGGGAUGGGAGGCCCUUGUUAGCUGGGAGAGCUGGGAGCAAGUGCUGGCACCUCCUGGGGCUCCCUCUGCAGCAGCUCUGGGGCCUCCCAAGCUUUCUCCUGGCUGACACAUCGCCUCUCUCCUCUGCUUGAUGCAGGGCUCCUGUGUGUCCCCACAGACGCCAUGCAGGGGCUGGGGGGAUCCUGGGGCUCCCUGGGGUCCGGCUCCAUCCCAGCAGGGCCGUGGCAGCCCGGGCAGAGGGACUGUCCCAUCAUCCUCCAGCACGGAGCAUCUCCCAGCCUGCUGUCUUGUAUGGCUUUUUAUUCCUAUGUGAUUAUACAUCCCACUUCAUAUAGGGAUUGAAGCCGUGCACUACGCCGGGCUCCUGCGGCAGAGAGCAGCCCCUGUGCCACGGGAGCCGGCCUCAGAGGAGCCACCAGAGCUGUCCUCAGGGGCUGGAGGGGGACUGCUGGCCUCAGCCUGAGCUCAUCCUGCAUCCCAGGCUCUCCAGCACUCUUGGGAUGCAGGUGAGGGGUGCCAGGCUGCUUUGGGGUGACGCUGGCACAAGCCCACUCCUUGCACUGCAGCCCCUUGCAAGGGUGGGCCUGGUUCUGCACCACAUCUGUGUGGAGAGCCCCAGUGACUGCACUGGUGGGCUGAUCCCUGGGGAAUCUGCUGCUCUGCUUUUGUCCCUGACUGUCCUGGGAUAUGCAGGCACUGCCAGCAGCACAGGGGAGGAGGAAGAGGAAAAAGAUGCUGAGGAAUGGCCACAACAGCAAGGGCUGCCCCAGGCACGAUGCUCUUCAAGGUUUCUCAAGAGGCCUCAGCCACUCUUUCAAGGCACAAGCACCAGAGCCAGGGUGGCACAGAGCCGGUCCCAGCACAGCCCACACACUGGGGCUGCUCACUGUGACUGCAGCCACACUCUGGUGUCUUCAUUUGCACAGCUUUACUCUCAUGAGGGCAAUAUCCCAUCCAGGACAAGCUGCAAAGCCUGCUCAGCUCUGGUGACUCACUUGAGUUCCCAAUGGGAAAGUCAUUGCUCCUGCCAAGCCCUGCCAGCCCAGAGGCAAAUCAUUACCAGGCAGGGACCAGCAGGGAAGAUGUUGCUGUGGAGGGAAGGAGGCUGGAGGAGGACUCCACACAGCUGGCUUGUCACUGCGCUUCAUUCAUCCCCAUCCUUACACUGUACAGUGAAGGUAUGUCGUCCUCUUUGUCACUGUGCACUGCUUGUGUCACCCAGCCAGUAUCAAGAACUUCUCUGUGCCAGUGUGCUUCUUAGCCACACUCCUGCUGUGCAUCCUGCUGGGCCUGGGGUCUCUGUCAUCUCAGUACCCUGCUGUGGGAAGAGCUGCAGGGCACUGUGCUGGCUUGUGGAGCAGGUGCUGGGUGUCCCCUUCCCAGCACAUCCCCCCAGCAGCUCCAUGCUUCAUGUGAGCAGGCCUUGCUGUAAUUUGCUCCAGUGGACCCCUAAAACCCCACUGCUGAGCUGCUCUUAG
rnacentral:lncRNA from 1 species